UGCCCCAUCGUCCAAUGGCAGGACAGCGGUCUUUGGAUCCGCUAAUGGUGGUUCGAAUCCACCUGGGGCAA
rnacentral:tRNA from 1 species